ensembl:lncRNA
CUCCUAAAGGAGAGGAAAAGAAUUGAAUACCUGCCAGGGGAAGGAUUUAAGUUGACAAUUAAGCCAUCCCGAUGUCAACUGGCAAAUGACAAAACCAGCUCAGCAAUAAGGAAACUUGCAAAGAAAAACAGCAAAGAUGCAACCUUGGCAAACAGCACAUCCUUCGGUCCUCCAAAAUGCCAGCAAAGUUGUUCUCAUCAUCAGAGGUCUCCAUGUGGGAAAUACUAGAAGAACUGUCAUUUAGCAAACUUUCUAUUAUUGAGCAUAAAAUAAGGAAAACAAAAUAAACUGUGUUUCAUCUGCCUUUCAAACCAACAUAUCUAGAAACAAUUCUAUGAAGACUUUUUUACAUUUAGAGAUAAUCAGUGAAUAGCUAAUUGACUUAAUCAUCUUAAAUCGCCCCUCCCUAAAUAAGAGCUCUGGGGGCACUGUUUCCUCAAGAAAACAGGGCAGAAAAGCCAAGAAAAGCCAGAUGUUUCUGUUCUCAGAAUUUAAUUUCCAACAGCGAUACACAGUGAUACGGUGGAGGAUGACACACAAGCGAUAGAAGGAUUAUCAGCAAGUUGUGAAGCUAUGAAAACUACUCAGAUUCAAAAAUGAAUGUUAUCUAAACAAAGCUAUUUGUAAGAGAAGCUGGGAAGCAGUGGAACGAUGUAUUCAGAAACUUAUGAAAGGAUUUCCAAAAGUAACCACUCAUUAUAUCUGCUCGCAUGAGGUGGGGAAAAAAAUCCAACCUGUUGCUAACAAGUGCCGUGGUAGAAAAUAACAGCUAUUCUAUUAGGGAACACUAGGAAAAAAGCAGGAACACAUUUCAAUUCCUAGAGUAUCUGUGCCUGAAAGAAGUUUCUAACAAGAACUGAAUAACAGGCCACCUAUUAAUUACUAUGCAAGCGAAUGAACUAUGAUCCGAUGCUUCAAACAAACAAGCAAAAAACCCUCCAACACGAAGUAUUGCAUACACUCCAAAAGAAGAUCAAUUUUUUUUUUUUUUUUUGUGAAAUGUCCAUUUUCAAAGACAGACUACCUUCAAAUUUUAAGAUCAUAUCAAAUGAGAUUUUUUUUUUUUUUAAAUGGCAUCUGCAAAGUAAGCUCGGUGUAAAGCUGAGUCACAGCAGUCAUGUGCGGGACUCCUCCUCCAGGAGGCUAAUUGAGGAAGCUGCCUGUCCUUGCUUUAACCUACUAUCUCUGUUGAAGUCAUUUUGCCUCAUAAACCCCAUGGAGAUAUGAGACACAAGGCCAGUUUAUUUCUACAGUGGCCCUACUUUGUUCAGAAUUAUUGCCAAGGCUUAUUUGGAAGCCUUUAUUAGAGGAAAUAUGAGCAUUUGUACUUUGUGAAGAUUGCAAGAACUCAACUCAAAGUAUGGUUAAUAUAAUAUAAUGAAUAUGUUGUCUUCCUUCAAAUUUAAUAUGUUAGGAGAAAUACCAUUAGGUUAUCUAUCUAUAUACAUACGUUAAUCAGCUAUUAAAAUGUAGUGUGACUUGGCAUUGAUACAGUUAUUGCUUAGUUGCUACUUAGCUGUUCUGUGUGACAUUCCAUUUAGUGUUCUGGAGUUCUGUCCAUGUCUGUGCAUAUUUAGACACACAGCAAAUCUCUUAUGGUAUUCCUAUUAACAAAUAUUUUUGUUAUUUGUAUAACGUCUUCAUGAAAAUAAUAAUGCUUUCAGUUUUGCAUCAUUCUCUGUUUUGUAUAUUUGCUCCGGUUCUCACAGACCUUCUAAUCUGCAGGACACCAUGAGAUGAAAUCAUGAAAUAACAAUAAAGAGCCAUAUGCCAUAGGAAUAGCA